GUAAGUACAGACCCACCUCCCAUCUCCACCUAGCUGAGUCUCACUCCUCCUGCACCCCGCCUGUCUCUUCCAUGAGCCUCUCUUUUUCUUGUCUCUGAAUUCCUCCAGCAUGCAAUUUCCAAAGCACAGGCCUCCACACGCCACCAGCCAUCCCCACGUGGCUCCCGUACGAUUCUUUACUUAAUAUUUCCCUUUAAAUCAACCCACUCUUUUACUUGAACAAAUUUAUUUUCAAAGGAAACUGUAUAUCUCCACCAUAAAUAGAAAAACCAUGCCAUAUGCCACAAAUAGAAGGCAGAUGAAAAAAAACAAGUUAUGCUCUAAUACACAUGAAAAUAAAUCAUCAGGAAAACAUUUUUAAAUGCUUGUCCAUGUGCCUGACGAGGUAAACCUAUAUACAGGUUGUAAAUGGAACAGCACCUCGAGGGACAAGGGUCCCGAAACGGGCCCCUGCAUGUGCGUACAGGCCGUGCUUACAUCCUGACAACUUCAACUGCUCCUGACCAAGUCAACUGGCCACGCGGCCUUCCAAAAUCUUCAAAAAUCCCCUCCUGCUCUAAGACGCGUGGCCUUGGCACUUUAUGUUCUGCUUUCUUUGUGGCCCCUGGGUUUUUCGGCCCCAUCUCACAGUUAUCUGGGGACUUGUCACCAAAUGUGAGUAUCCCAGGGUAGGGAGCACAGAGCCUGCUGCAGCCCCUGAGCCAGUCUUGCACGCAGCAUAACACGCAAUACAAACAGCUCUCCAACAGCACGCUCUGGUCUGCUCCGAUGCGUGGCCCCCAUUCUCUGCCUGACCCCAGGCCCAUCUGCUGCUAGCGCACAACCCCUCUGCCCCACUCCCCCAAAUCCAUCUCUGUCCACUGGGGUGUUUCAAAGGACCACACAGAAAGAGCAACGGAGGCACCAGCGGGGCAUGAGGCUGUUCUCCAGCCCCGGCUGCCUCUUCUUUAGAAGCAGCAGGACCUGCGGCACGAGGCUGUUCUCCAGCCCCGGCUGCCUCUUCUUUAGAAGCAGCAGGACCUGGGGCAGCCUGGAAAAGCAAGUUUCCAGUCAACGAUUAACCAGACGCUCUCCCAGCAAAGACACAAACCUUUUCCCCGGAAGUUAGCAAAGUUCUGUGAAAACCCCUGCAUGAACUGGGCCCCUGACUCCAGGAAAACAGAGGCAUCUUCCAAUGUCCUUGGAGCCAUGAGACCCCGAAACACCUACCGGGAACAGAGGGGCUUCACCCAGACAGGCCCCACCAGGGAGGAGGAGGCCGCUCUCCCUCCCACCACCGUUGUCGGGGGUGACCCGAGGUGUUCCAGAUGAGGAGCUGAAUCACUGGGACUUAAGUCAAUAAGUGGCAGCCACCAGGCAGGCCCAGCUGGAGCCAAACCAAGGCCUGGAUUCUCCUCGUGGAUGUCUGGCACAGCAUGAGCCCUGAUGUGCGCUUUCUGCUCCUGCUCCUGCUCCUGCCCCUUCGGAGGCCUGUGCCAGUGGCAGCUGGGCCCGGAGACACCAGGCCGGCACUGCUCUCUUUCGAGGCACCCGUGUUUGUGCCGACGCUGACUCCCGGUUGUCUGCAGCAGCCACGUGGCCGAAAUGGAGCCUCUCCACGGGGGCUCCUUCCCCAGCCCCUGGAUGGCACAGCAGCCUCUCCUGUCUGUCACCACGUGUGACCUGCUCCCUUAGUCUUCAGCCGCUCAUCCACGUCUGCAGGGGCAUCUAACUCUGUCCCAGGGUAUCCCAGACCCUGGCUCACGCCCCAGGCUCUCCAUUCAGGCUCCAUCGUCCACCUCAGACCAUCUCGGGUUUGCUGGUCUUCUGGACUAGCGCAGCCAGAAAGAACCCAGGAAGGAAGCCUCACGUCUGACACAAGAACCUUCGGUGCUAACCCGAGGGCGGUAUGUGCAUCCUCAGCACCUGCCCAUCCGGCACCAUCCUCUGAUCCAGGGACUGUGAGCAACAGGGCCCCGUGGCCAGGACAUCUCUCACCCUCCAGUUAAAAUCUCGCCAGUUGAGUCUGCCCAUGAAAGUAGGCGCUGAACUGCCCAAUAAAUCCACAAGUAAGAGUUGCAAGAAGGAGCCAAAAAGGGCUGAGCUGAAUGACUCAUAUAUGAAAUAAUUUGAUAAUUAAUAUAAAUAGGAAAUUUAAAGUCUCCAGCUGAGUGACAGAAAACACCUUAAAAAGCUCAAGAGAGAGGAAAGGAAGAAAAUAAACCUAUAAUUGCAAAAUAAAAGCAUUGAAAGAAGCCGUGCUCAAGAGAACACCUCCCGGGCACGUGAGAAGAACGUGCGUCCUGUGGUUGCUGGGUGGCGUGUUCUGCAGAUGUCUGUCCUGCCGGGCACGUGAGAAGAACGUGCAUCCUGCAGUUGCUGGGUGGAGAGUUCUGCAGAUGUCUGUCCUCCCGGGCACUUGAGAAGAACGUGCAUCCUGCGGUUGCUGGGUGGAGAGUUCUGCAGAUGUCUGUCCUCCCAGGCACUUGAGAAGAACGUGCAUGCUGUGGUUGCUGGGUGGAGAGUUCUGCAGAUGUCUGUCCUCCCAGGCACUUGAGAAGAACGUGCAUGCUGUGGUUGCUGGGUGGAGAGUUCUGCAGAUGUCUGUCCUCCCAGGC
rnacentral:lncRNA from 1 species